UACGGAGGAUGCAAGCGUUAUCCGGAAUGAUUGGGCGUAAAGCGUCCGCAGGUGGCAAUGUAAGUCUGCUGUCAAAGCGUCUGGCUCAACCAGAUAAAGGCAGUGGAAACUACAUAGCUAGAGUAAGGUAGGGGUAGAGGGAAUUCCUGGUGUAGCGGUGAAAUGCGUAGAGAUCAGGAAGAACACCAGUGGCGAAGGCGCUCUGCUAGGCCGUAACUGACACUGAGGGACGAAAGCUAGGGGAGCGAAUGGG
rnacentral:rRNA from 1 species